rnacentral:rRNA from 2 species
CUGGUAUUGAUUGGUGCUUGCAUCAUGAUUUACAUUUGAGUGAGUGGCGAACUGGUGAGUAACACGUGGGAAACCUGCCCAGAAGCGGGGGAUAACACCUGGAAACAGAUGCUAAUACCGCAUAACAACUUGGACCGCAUGGUCCGAGUUUGAAAGAUGGCUUCGGCUAUCACUUUUGGAUGGUCCCGCGGCGUAUUAGCUAGAUGGUGAGGUAACGGCUCACCAUGGCAAUGAUACGUAGCCGACCUGAGAGGGUAAUCGGCCACAUUGGGACUGAGACACGGCCCAAACUCCUACGGGAGGCAGCAGUAGGGAAUCUUCCACAAUGGACGAAAGUCUGAUGGAGCAACGCCGCGUGAGUGAAGAAGGGUUUCGGCUCGUAAAACUCUGUUGUUAAAGAAGAACAUAUCUGAGAGUAACUGUUCAGGUAUUGACGGUAUUUAACCAGAAAGCCACGGCUAACUACGUGCCAGCAGCCGCGGUAAUACGUAGGUGGCAAGCGUUGUCCGGAUUUAUUGGGCGUAAAGCGAGCGCAGGCGGUUUUUUAAGUCUGAUGUGAAAGCCUUCGGCUCAACCGAAGAAGUGCAUCGGAAACUGGGAAACUUGAGUGCAGAAGAGGACAGUGGAACUCCAUGUGUAGCGGUGAAAUGCGUAGAUAUAUGGAAGAACACCAGUGGCGAAGGCGGCUGUCUGGUCUGUAACUGACGCUGAGGCUCGAAAGUAUGGGUAGCAAACAGGAUUAGAUACCCUGGUAGUCCAUACCGUAACGAUGAAUGCUAAGUGUUGGAGGGUUUCCGCCCUUCACUGCUGCAGCUAACGCAUUAAGCAUUCCGCCUGGGGGAGUACUGCCGCGAGGCUGAAACUCAAGGUAUUGACAGGGGCCCGCACAGCGGUGGAGCAUGUGGUUUACU